AGAGCGAACGCUGGCGGCAGGCCUAACACAUGCAAGUCGAACGGACCCUUCGGGGUUAGUGGCGGACGGGUGAGUAACACGUAGGAACGUGCCUUUUGGUUCGGAAUAGCUCCUGGAAACGGGUGGUAAUGCCGAAUGUGCCCUUCGGGGGAAAGAUUUAUCGCCAUUAGAGCGGCCCGCGUCUGAUUAGCUAGUUGGUGAGGUAAUGGCUCACCAAGGCGACGAUCAGUAGCUGGUCUGAGAGGAUGACCAGCCAC
rnacentral:rRNA from 1 species